ACUCCUCGUGCUGCGCGGUCCGCGGUUCCGCGUGCCCCUCGGGGGUUCCCCGGGACCCCCUUUCGCCAGCCCUUCCGUGGACGGCCUCUUCUCACUCAGAUCCCAGCUUAACGCCAGCAAGGCCGCCUUUAGCCGGUCUAAAGAUGCCCGCCUCCCCUCUCCAUCACAGCGCCGUGCCAUUUAUUUUUUUCACGCCCCAAACCACUCUGGAAGCGUGCUCAUCGGGUACAAUGUUUCCCCAGGUAGACAGCGAGCUCUGGGAGGGCAGGGUCCUGGGUCCUGGGCCGGAACCGGGUGCUUCACUUUAGAUGUGUGGGAUGAAUGGAUGUCGCGGGGAGGGGAGCUCCCUACCCCAGCUCCCGUGGCUUGGGCCCUGCACCUGCCCCAGCGCAGGACUGUUCUUACGACCCGUUCCCCAGGCCACCUCGGCGAGUCCCUCCGGGUCGGGGCGUAUGACUCGCCGACCACCUCCACGGCUCUCGCUCCGCCCCAUUUCCCGUUCUUUGGCGGGAGGGGGAGCUAAGGGGAUGGCACGAGCUUGGGAGACGUUUCGCUCCUUUAUUAACUCGGGUUGGCUCGAGUCUUCCGAGCGCCCCGUGCCUCGGCGGGGGAUGCUAACGUCGACAGAAGGGCGAAGGGGAAACCGGGGUCUGGACACGCUGUGCGGGAGGCGAGGAGAGGCCGGCCGUCAAAAGGAGCCUAGCACCACAUAAACCUUCCACUUGCCGCCUCCGGCCGCCCAAUUACCUCGCGGCCGGAGAAGGCCAGCGCCCGCUCCGCGCAGGCGCGAAAGCGCGCACCCGGCCCGCCCAGGGCGGGGCUCAGGCCUGGUGCGGAUCCUCCAGUUUGCUUUCCCAGCUGGCUACCCCCGUUCGGGGGACUAGAGAGAGCAACAUAUUUUCUAUACGAGAGCCCGUGCCAGGGGCCCCGGGCUCACGCACCCGACGGUCCAUGGAGUUGCAGACCAAGGCUCACUGGCCCUGGACGGGCGCUCCAGGUCCGCGCGCUCGGCCACUUUGCGACUGCGGGGCGCGGAGUUGAGGGUAGGGAGGCCUGUACCCAGGUGAGGUCACAGGCGGACCGGACUGCCAGGUGGCGAGGAGCGGAGCCCCCGGGAGCUUACGCGUUAAGGCUUCUGCCCAGUCGCCCAUUCCCCAAUUCUCUCCCCAACCCUCGACCUUUAUUCUCAUUCCAGACGGUUCCAGCCCAUCGGCAGUCGCCGAACCCCCGUGGGGGGGCGAAAUCCGAAAGUUUCCAGCUACGAACAGUUUGCAUUUGUUUUUUCCUUGAUCACUUUUUUUGGCAAGGGCAGAGAGCAACGGUAGUGUGGGGGUUUAAAAGCGCCUUCCCUGACUGCAGCAGAAAAACGCCGGACUGGAGGGCAAACUCCAAGGGGAUAGGGAGGCGGGGGGAGCCUGAGCCCGAAAUUCCCCCAUUCCCCACACGCUGAGCGCUUCAGCCCCUGGGGCACCUCCAGGGACUACUUGCCUUCUGCGUCAGCGAGUGGCAAAGCGUCACAUAUACGCCCCCCCUCCGCUUUGCCCCACUCCGCUCCUCCCCUUCUUUUCCUCCCUCUCCACUUUCCUCCCCUCCCCAUCUCUCCCCACUCCUCCCUUGCACUCCCCCAGCGCGUUCCACGCGAGCAGUGAGACCCGGCCGACCCACAGGGUACCAGAGAGCUGAAGAGCUAAAAAUAUAACCGGUGUGUUAGCAACAGCCUUCCCAUUGGUCGAGAAGCAGGGAGAAGCGGCUUCUGAUUGGGCUUCCCAUCCAACCGCUAGGAUUAAGAAUGGGGGCCAGAAACGCAGGCGCGGGGCUUUGGGGAAGAGUGUGCGUUUGCGCAAUGGGCCAUUGCAAAGGAUGCUGGUAUUUGAAGUCAUGUAUUAGAGGCAGCAAUGGGUUUGAAUCGCAAUUGCGUCCACCAACUGUGUUAUCUUGAUUUAAUGGCCUGAAUAGUCCACGUGUGAGAUUGUUGUGGAGUAUGGUGCCUCUGGAAGCAUUCGUGAGAUGUCAGGAGCUUACAAGGAAGAGGUACCCAGCUGGCUGGCUCACGUGAACGUGGGAGGCUGUUUCGAACGAAGCAAAUAGAGAGCCAAGAAGACAGGGUAUGCGCAAGGAAUGUCCCUUUAAGUGCCUGAUGAAGAGCACAGAGAGAAGUGAAUAAAGGAAAAUCCUGGGGGUAGGGAAGAGCAAACCAUUUUGAGGAACUUCCGUGCCAGGACUUCAAUGUUUAUCUAUGAAAAAGUAGGAACACACUGUAAAAGAGCUACCGUUUGUGUAAACACUUCCCUGUAAGGGUAAGGAACUUACAACUUCAAAUUUAUUCCUUACAACCUGAAGAGCGCCGCUGUUCACUAAACAGGGAGAAGAGAAUGGCAGAAAUGGCGGAGGGAGCCCUUAACCACCCUGAGAAGAGCAAUACAGUGAAGUGGUUUGAGGAAGUGCUUGACUUUGACCACCCAUUCUUAAAGGUGAUGAAACCAUCUUCAAUAUAACCAUGGAGGGCAAUAAUGAAAUGAAAAACAUGCAAAACAGAGAGUCAGACAACUUGGGUUCUAGUCCUGGAUCUGCUACUGAUUAGCCAUGUGACCUCGGGCCAAGUCGCUAAACAUCUGGAAGCCUUCGUUUUCUCAUUUGUAUCACAAAGAACUUUUGGAAAAGAAUGUUCAGCAGUUUGGGGCACACAGCAAGAGCUCUAUAAAUGUUAGUGGCUAUUCUUGUCUUUUGGUUGGGAGAGCUGAAGAAAAUGUAAGUAAAAGGAAUAAAUCGAGGGGUAAGGGGACAUCAGCUCAGUAUGAUGCGCACUGUAAGAAACUACAAAUGAGCCCUCUGGCAGCAGCACCCACAGAUAGGACUCCUGAGUAUUCUUGAUGAUGAAAAACUAAGUGAGAACACCUGUUUAGUUCACUGGUCUAAUUCCCUUAUAAAUUAUGAAAAUGGCAGGAAGAAGAGUAUGAUAACUGGGCUUGCUUUGUUUGCAGGAGGAUUUCUGCCUAGGAAAAAGUCUUACGGACUUAAUCUACAUGAUGAUCUGUAAGGGUGAGAGGCUGGAUCAUGUCACUGGACUGCUUUGUGUCCCCUGGAAACUAUUGCUGAGUAAAUGUAAGCUAGAUGCCAUCUCAAGUAUCCUCAGAACAUUCCUGUACAAUAUGAAGUAGGCGGAGUGAUGUCUGGAAUAAUUCUCGGGAACGGAAAGAAGCACAAAAGAUCCAAAGGUAUCAGUUCAUGCAUCACAUGCAGACAAGCCCGACAGUAAUUAACAUAUAUUAAGCACUCUGGUUACAAGCUUAUUCCAGACAAGAAUUCUAGCUACAACCAUGCAGAAGUUCAAAAAAAUGUUGUCUUUAUGGACUCUGUAGCUAGUUUAA